rnacentral:rRNA from 1 species
GACGAACGCUGGCGGCGCGCCUAACACAUGCAAGUCGAACGAGCGAGAGAGAGCUUGCUUUCUCGAGCGAGUGGCGAACGGGUGAGUAACGCGUGAGGAAUCUGCCUCAAAGAGGGGGACAACAGUUGGGAACGACUGCUAAUACCGCAUAAGCCCACGGUGCCGCAUGGCACAGAGGGAAAAGGAGUAAUCCGCUUUGAGAUGGCCUCGCGUCCGAUUAGCUAGUUGGUGAGGUAACGGCCCACCAAGGCGACGAUCGGUAGCCGGACUGAGAGGUUGAACGGCCACAUUGGGACUGAGACACGGCCCAGACUCCUACGGGAGGCAGCAGUGGGGAAUAUUGCACAAUGGGGGAAACCCUGAUGCAGCGACGCCGCGUGGAGGAAGAAGGUCUUCGGAUUGUAAACUCCUGUUGUUGGGGAAGAUAAUGACGGUACCCAACAAGGAAGUGACGGCUAACUACGUGCCAGCAGCCGCGGUAAAACGUAGGUCACAAGCGUUGUCCGGAAUUACUGGGUGUAAAGGGAGCGCAGGCGGGAAGACAAGUUGGAAGUGAAAUCUAUGGGCUCAACCCAUAAACUGCUUUCAAAACUGUUUUUCUUGAGUAGUGCAGAGGUAGGCGGAAUUCCCGGUGUAGCGGUGGAAUGCGUAGAUAUCGGGAGGAACACCAGUGGCGAAGGCGGCCUACUGGGCACCAACUGACGCUGAGGCUCGAAAGUGUGGGUAGCAAACAGGAUUAGAUACCCUGGUAGUCCACACCGUAAACGAUGAUUACUAGGUGUUGGAGGAUUGACCCCUUCAGUGCCGCAGUUAACACAAUAAGUAAUCCACCUGGGGAGUACGACCGCAAGGUUGAAACUCAAAGGAAUUGACGGGGGCCCGCACAAGCAGUGGAGUAUGUGGUUUAAUUCGACGCAACGCGAAGAACCUUACCAAGUCUUGACAUCCCUUGACAGACAUAGAAAUAUGUUUUCUCUUCGGAGCAAGGAGACAGGUGGUGCAUGGUUGUCGUCAGCUCGUGUCGUGAGAUGUUGGGUUAAGUCCCGCAACGAGCGCAACCCUUAUGGUCAGUUACUACGCAAGAGGACUCUGGCCAGACUGCCGUUGACAAAACGGAGGAAGGUGGGGAUGACGUCAAAUCAUCAUGCCCUUUAUGACUUGGGCUACACACGUACUACAAUGGCGUUAAACAAAGAGAAGCAAGACCGCGAGGUGGAGCAAAACUCAGAAACAACGUCCCAGUUCGGACUGCAGGCUGCAACUCGCCUGCACGAAGUCGGAAUUGCUAGUAAUCGUGGAUCAGCAUGCCACGGUGAAUACGUUCCCGGGCCUU